rnacentral:snoRNA from 2 species
CCCCUCUCAGGGUCACACCCGGAGAGUUUCCAUUACUCUACCAGUCAUGACUACAGGACGGAGAGUCAAUCAGAGGCAUUCCCAUUCCAUUCCUAGCUUGGGCAGCGGCUAGUGAAUGGAAGGCAAUCUGCUACAAGU